AAUCAGCCGGUGUGAGGCGGUGCCCACUGUGUUCGCGUCCCUCGGGCAGCAGAGCCAUGGAGCCCGGGGCUGCUGAGCUUUAUGACCAGGCCCUGUUGGGCAUCCUGCAGCACGUGGGCAAUGUCCAGGACUUUCUGCGCGUGCUCUUCGGCUUUCUCUACCGCAAGACCGACUUCUACCGCCUGCUGCGCCACCCUUCGGACCGCAUGGGCUUCCCGCCCGGGGCCGCACAGGCCCUGGUGCUGCAGGUCUUUAAAACAUUUGAUCACAUGGCCCGCCAGGAUGAUGAGAAAAGGAAGAAAGAACUAGAAGAGAAAAUAAGAAAAAAGGAGGAAGAGGCCAAGGCCUUGCCAGCUGCUGAAACUGAGAAGGUAGCGGUGCCGGUCCCAGUGCAGGAGGUAGAGAUCGAUGCUGCUGCAGACUUGAGUGGGCCUCAGGAAGUAGAGAAGGAGGAGCCCCCAGGCUCCCAGGACCCCGAGCACACAGUGACCCAUGGCCUGGAGAAGGCGGAAGCUCCAGGAACAGUUAGCAGUGCUGCUGAAGGCCCUAAGGACCCUCCUGUGCUCCCCAGGAUUCAGGAGCAGUUCCAGAAAAAUCCUGACAGUUACAACGGUGCCAUCCGUGAGAACUACAUCUGGUCGCAAGACUACACCGACCUGGAGGUCAGGGUGCCCGUGCCCAAGCAUGUGAUGAAGGGGAAGCAGGUCUCUGUGGCCCUUAGCAGUGGCACCAUCCGAGUGGCCAUGGUGGAAGAGAAUGGAGAGCGUGUCCUCAUGGAGGGGAAGCUCACUCACAAGAUCAACACCGAGAGCUCCCUCUGGAGCCUUGAGCCCGGCAGGUGUGUUUUGGUGCCUUCCUGGAAGGAACGUCCCACAACAUUCCCGUUGGCCCAAACUCAAUCCCACGGGCAGCUGCGAGGAGUAAAGCCAUCCUCACUGGGCACAGUGCUUCCCUGAAUAGAAAUGAGGUUCCGUUACUAAGGAAGGAAAGGGAUAGAAAUGCUGGUGAGUCAUCGGCACAGAUCGGGGGAUGCUGAGGUGAAUCUGAGCAAGGUUGGCGAGUACUGGUGGAGUGCCAUCCUGGAGGGGGAAGAGCCCAUCGACAUCGACAAGAUCAACAAGGAGCGCUCCAUGGCUACUGUGGAUGAGGAGGAGCAGGCAGUCCUGGACAGACUCACCUUUGACUACCACCAGAAACUGCAGGGCAAGCCCCAGAGCCACGAGCUGAAAGUCCAUGAGAUGCUGAAGAAGGGGUGGGAUGCUGAAGGCUCUCCCUUCCGAGGCCAGCGAUUCGACCCAGCCAUGUUCAACAUCUCCCCAGGGGCUGUGCAGUUUUAAUGACCGGAAGUAAAGGAAACCCUCGCCAUUGGGGAGAUGGAGACGUUGUCCUCCUCACUCCCUGCAUGCCAGGGACUCACUUCUCCUGAUCAGUCCUAGCCAUUUUUUUCUUUCAUGAUGAACCAGGCCUUCCAUGCUGACCUUCUACCUUCAGACUAUUCUAGAGAAGGUACAGGGCCAGCUGCUGCUUGGCAGUGUCUGUGGCCAACACUGAAUGCAGGUGUUUGACAUGCAGGAGGGACAUGUCCCAGCCUACUGGUAGCACAUGUUCUGUCUCCACAGCAACCAGGCACUGCAGGCAGCAUUUCCUUUCUCCCCGUUCUCUCUGCUUGCUGUUGUUUUGACGCUAUUCUGCUUGCUUGUCUUCUGAUUGGGGAUAAGGAGUGGCUGGGCUCAGACAAAGCUAAGUUGUUGUGUGGAGCCAGGCACCUGCAUGAGGGCCAGCGGGGCAUGGCUGUGGGGCUGCUAUGGGGUUCCCUCACUUGUUGUUGAUCUGUGUCUAUCUCUGUGUGUGUGUGUGUGUGUGUGUGUGCCAUCUUGCUCAUUUCUUUGUGAAUACACUUGACUUGCCUCAGUUUUAUGGGCAGAGCAGCAGGAACUGGGUCUGUUUGAGAUGGUAGGAGAAAGUCUGAGGUUCUGGCCUCUCACCCAGGUGUGGUAAGGAUUCUGUCUGCCCUCUGACUGCAGCUGCCUUGCUUUGAUUCUUGUUGAAAUGAGCUGAGACUAGCCACCACUACUUUUUCCCCUCAAGACCUCCUCUUUGGGGGUGCUGCAUUCAAGCCUGGGUACCUCCAAGAAGAGAUCACAGCCUGUUGGUAGUUCAUUGGCAGAUCCGUGUCAACUACACUCCCUAAGGAGCUUUGACCCUGAAGCAUGCCUCAGGAAGGAAAACGUAUGCACUAGCUUGAAGGCAACUACAAUUGAGUCCAAGAAAAUGAAGAUUUCUCUGUGCCAAUCACUAGACUGCUUUUUGGAGCUCAGAGCCUGUGUGGCGACGCCAGCUAAGGGUGUGAAGACCUGCCCAGAGGACCAGGACCCUGGUGUCCCAUCCCUUUACGUACUCUCUCUGUGCUGGUUGGUGCCUGGCAUCUCCAUUUGCCUGGUUCUUAGUUGUGUGGUGUGUGUGUGUGUGUGUUCACGUCACAGCACUAAUUUCUAUACUCUGGUAACCAACCAUACAAAGUGCAAGAAUUAAGACCCAUUGAAGCCAAGGCAGACUGUUCUCUGGAAAGAGCCCUGCACCACCGAGUGCUAUGUCCACUUGCUUGGAAGGAGCCAUUGGAAGAGCAAAUUUUGGAACUUACACAAUUGUGUAGAAAGGAGCUGGUUCAUUGUAGGCAUUUAAGGGAUUUCUGGUUUACUUCCUAAAAGUCCAUACUGGGAGUUAAUCUGUGGGCCUGAGUAGACCAUGAUGGUGGUCAAGGGACAGCAGUGGACCCCAUAUACCCACUCCAGAGUCUGAACAUGUGAUUGGACAUUGGUCAUCAAGUUGAUGAAAUCUCCCUCAAGAGGUCACCGUCCAGGAGCAGAAUCUGUCGUAGUCACAAGAUCCCCAGGACACUUUGCUGUUUGUUCCUGAAGUUUUCAUCAAGGUCUAGGCUGCGCACAUCCCUGUCCCAUGGAAGCUGUCUCACCUAAAGAAGGAAGUCUCGUGGUGUGUGUGCACCUGCAGUCUUCUCCCUCUCGGCCCUCAUCCUGUGGGUAGUCUUGCAGAAGGAAUGAUGUCGUGGCGGAACCCUGCAUCCUUUUAUUUAAGACAAUGCUUUUCUCUGUGUUGACUCAUCUUCAUUACUGUAGCAUGGUUUUAUUUUCUGUGUUGCAUUUUUUUCUUUGUCCCUGCCGUGUUUCAACAAACAAGCCUGUAUAGAAAAAGCAGCCUGGGGGAUAUAGCACUGGUUGUAGGCCGUGGGGCAGGAAGCUGUGACUGAUCCCUGGGGCAUGUUGUAGUACAUGGUGUAGUGGUGGCUUCUGUAUCUACAUGUCUCCAUCACAGUGAGGCUCAAUCCCAGCCAGCCAAGUAGAUAGUUCUUUGCCCUGAGGCACUGCCCUGGUUUGCCCCGCCACUGAAGCUGGCACAUUGCCUGUUUUCUCUUUUUAGACACGACAGCCACAGUGUGGUCUCUAAGUCCCACCAGCUGAGGUCUGAGGAAAGCAGGGUGACUCUGUCCCCUUUGCCCAGAGACCCAAAGAGUGGGGUGUCCAGCCUGCAGAGUUGCUCUGGCUCCUCGGUGUUGGUUUGCAAUAAAUCUGUGUUUAAGCAGUUCUGGUUCUGUCUGUGACAGUCACUAUUAAGACACUUACAUGAGUGGUCGUUACCCUUGACUUCUAGCCGUGAGUCCUGCUUCCCUCUACACAGUCAACACCAAAACUAAAUGCACUGGGUUGUUUCUCACCUGGCCUUUCACUGCUUUUAGAAAUCCUAUAAGAUGUUAAUUUUUUAUUGUUACCAUAAAGACCCAUUCAAAAUAUUGAACCACCCUGCUGGAGACCCCUUUUCUUGGGGUUACUAUUGCCUUGAUUAAACACCAUGACCAAAAGUA